GGCUAGUGUGGCACAGUGGUUUGAGCAUUGGACUGUGACUCUGAAAAGCAGGGUUCAAGUCCCUGCUCAGCCA